rnacentral:rRNA from 1 species
AUGACGAUCAUGAGCUAGAACUGUCGAGGCCUCGGGCAACUUCGUACAGUUCAAGAACUAGUGUGUCUCAUACACCACAAGCCCAAGCUCAUCUUCCUUACUGAAAAGCGGCAGAAAAACAAGUUUGUCACAAACCUAAAGUGGAGGCUGGGCCUCCAUCACUGUACCAUGCAACCCGGCACUGGAAAAGGUCCCGGCAUUGCUCUCUUC